AGCGCGUGCAGUCUGGAAUUGUUGUUGGUCGGGAGGCGCCACUAAACAACCAUGCCGUGCAAGGGGUGCUGCGGUAAUAAGAAGUGCUGCUCGAGCGGCGACUGCUGCAAGUCGGGCGGCUGCACGUGCGGCAACUGCUGCUGCAGCAGGUCGUGCUGCGCGUCGGGCUGCGGCGACGACUGCAAGUGCGGCAUCAGCGGCUGUCCCGCCUCGCCCACCAAGAAGUAGCGCCGGAAGACGCCUUCCGCGCGCUUGUGACCGCCGCACUCGCCGAUUAUGUGCACCGCGCCGCCGGCUGGACGCCGCGCGGCGGCCCAGUGCGUCCGUACUUUUCUAAAUAAAAGAGAACGAAAAUGAA